AUGGCUCAGGACGACGGCGAGGUAGGCCACCCACGCCGCAGCCGACGCCUCAGGCCCCAUCCUUCUUUUGAUCCAGAGGACGACGGCAAGGUUGGCCGUCCAUGCCGCAACCGGCGCCUCAGGCCUCAUGCUUCUUUGGAUCCGGAGGACAACGGCAAGGUUGGCCGUCCAUGCCGCAACCGGCGCCUCAGGCCUCAGACUUCUUUGGAUCCGGAGGACGACGGCCCACGCCGCAACCGACGCCUCAGGCCUCAGGCUUCUUUGGAUCCGGAGGACGACAACGAGGUGGGCCGCCCACGCCUCAGAACUCUGGUUUCUUUGGAUCGAGAGGACGACGGCGAGGUGGGCCGCCAGCGCUGUAGCAGAUGCCUCGGGCCUCGGGCUUUUUCGGAUCCACGGCAGGAGCUCAAGCAGCUGCGGGAGGAGCUCAGUCAGGAGAAGCUCAAGUGCGCCAAGCUGCAGAAGCAGCUCAGGCAGAAGCAGCUCAAGUGCGCCCAGCUGCAGGAGGAGCUCAGUUAG
rnacentral:rRNA from 1 species